GUGGAUUAGAUACCCGGGUAGUCCUGGCUGUAAACGAUGUCGACUAGAUCGUAGUGGCUCUGACGCUAUUACGGUCGAAGCAAAAGUGCUAAGUCGACCGCCUGGGAAGUACGGUCGCAAGGCUAAAACUCAAAGGAAUUGACGGGGGCUCACACAAGCGGUGGAGCAUGUGGUUCAAUUCGAAGCAACGCGCAGAACCUUACCUGGGCUUGACAUGCUAGGAUUAUCUCCGUGAAAGCGGAGUAGGCCCUUCGGGGUACAACUAGUACAGGUGCUGCACGGUUGUCGUCAGCU
rnacentral:rRNA from 1 species